rnacentral:rRNA from 1 species
GAUGAACGCUGGCGGCGUGCUUAACACAUGCAAGUCGAACGGAAAGGCUCCUGCUUGCAGGGGUACUCGAGUGGCGAACGGGUGAGUAACACGUGGGUGAUCUGCCCUGCACUUCGGUAUAAGCCUGGGAAACUGGGUCUAAUACCGGAUAGGACGAUGGUUUGGAUGCCAUUGUGGAAAGUUUUUCGGUGUGGGAUGAGCUCGCGGCCUAUCAGCUUGUUGGUGGGGUAAUGGCCUACCAAGGCGUCGACGGGUAGCCGGCCUGAGAGGGUGUACGGCCACAUUGGGACUGAGAUACGGCCCAGACUCCUACGGGAGGCAGCAGUGGGGAAUAUUGCACAAUGGGCGCAAGCCUGAUGCAGCGACGCCGCGUGGGGGAUGACGGCCUUCGGGUUGUAAACUCCUUUCGCUAGGGACGAAGCGCAAGUGACGGUACCUGGAGAAGAAGCACCGGCUAACUACGUG